rnacentral:lncRNA from 1 species
CUGACUCCCAAGCCCAUGCUCUCCCAAGCUUAUCUUCCAGCAAGGGGUUCAUAUGCAGAAGGGACUUGCCUUUUCUCAGAUGAGAUGUUGGACUCGGACUUUUGAGUUAAUGCUGAAAUGAGCUAAGACUUUGGGGAACUGUUGGGAAGACAUGAUCGGUUUUGAAAUGCGAGAAGGACAUGAGAUGUGGGAGGGGCCAAGGGUGGAAUUAUAAGGUUUAGCUCUGUGUCCCCACCCAAAUUUCAUCUCGAAUUGUAAUUCCUAAUGUUGGGGAAGGGACCUGGUGGGAAGUGAUUGGAUCAUGGGGGUGGACUUCCCUCAUGCUGUUCUCCUGAUAAUGAGUGAGUUCUCAUGAGAUCUGCUUGUUUAAAGGUGUAUGGCACUUCCCCCCUUGCUCACGCUUUCUCUCUUCUGCUGCCAUGAGAAGAAAGUGCUUGCUUUCCCUUUGCUUUUCUCCCAUGAUUCAGUUUCUGAGGCCUCCCAGUCAUGCUUCCUGUUAAGUCUGUGGAACUUGGAGUCAAUU